rnacentral:rRNA from 1 species
UACGGAGGAUCCGAGCGUUAUCCGGAUUUAUUGGGUUUAAAGGGUGCGUAGGCGGGAGAUUAAGUCAGCGGUGAAAGUUUGCAGCUUAACUGUAAAAUUGCCGUUGAAACUGAUUUUCUUGAGUGUAAAUAAGGUAGGCGGAAUGUGUUGUGUAGCGGUGAAAUGCAUAGAUAUAACACAGAACCCCGAUUGCGAAGGCAGCUUACCGGGCUACAACUGACGCUGAGGCACGAAAGCGUGGGGAUCAAACAGGAUUAGAUACCCUGGUAGUCCACGCAGUAAACGAUGAAUACUAACUGUUUGCGAUAUACAGUAAGCGGUACAGCGAAAGCGUUAAGUAUUCCACCUGGGGAGUACGUUCGCAAGAAUGAA